GAUGAACGCUGGCGGCGUGCUUAACACAUGCAAGUCGAACGAUGAAGCCCAGCUUGCUGGGUGGAUUAGUGGCGAACGGGUGAGUAACACGUGAGUAACCUGCCCUUAACUCUGGGAUAAGCCUGGGAAACUGGGUCUAAUACCGGAUAGGAGCGUCCACCGCAUGGUGGUUGUUGGAAAGAUUUAUCGGUUUUGGAUGGACUCGCGGCCUAUCAGCUUGUUGGUGAGGUAAUGGCUCACCAAGGCGACGACGGGUAGCCGGCCUGAGAGGGUGACCGGCCACACUGGGACUGAGACACGGCUCAGACUCCUACGGGAGGCAGCAGUGGGGAAUAUUGCACAAUGGGCGCAAGCCUGAUGCAGCGACGCCGCGUGAGGGAUGACGGCCUUCGGGUUGUAAACCUCUUUCAGUAGGGAAGAAGCGAAAGUGACGGUACCUGCAGAAGAAGCACCGGCUAACUACGUG
rnacentral:rRNA from 1 species